UAUGAACCUAAUGCACAUUUCACUAGACUUAAGUGUGCAAAAAGUAUUUAAAAACACAAGGAAAGGGGUUGCAUGCACCGGGGCUUGCCUGGGUAACACUAGGUUAGUGUUGUUAGACGAUGAUCCUUUGGCGAGCAGCUCACAUCCUGGCACUUGAUCAGACAUGUUCGUCCAUCAGCAUCACCGUGCGGAGUAGCCCGCGCUUGGGGUCGACUUGGCUCGUCUUCCGCAUCACGCGAUUAAUUAACGUACCUGAAUGGAAUGCAUUAUGCACAUGAAUGCAUAUCGACGAAAAUAUUACAAACCUAAAUAGUGUUACGCGAUAGCGGAACACCUAGUGGCAAGGCGUUGUACAAUUUUAUAAGAAAAUACUAGUUAUCGACAGACGACUACGCGCAAUAAUUACGCUUCUCUAAAUUAACCGAAUCUAACGCAAACAUUACGAAACACAAACAAUACAUACUUAACAUAAUUAGCCUAACCACAACUUAUCAGUUAACAAAUUUAAUUCUGAACUAAUCCCUUGCCUCAUAAAUUAUACUACAUCUUUAUAAGUGAUUAAAAUAUUUUAUCAUCACGCAUGCCUACCAAAAUUCUAUUCGGUCCACUAAAUCAGCUAAGUGACCGGAAUAGCGAAAUAACUCGCUAUAACUGAAUCUGGCUCGAUAAUCGCAAGAACUGCGAAGUCGACGAGAGUUUCGUGACUGACGCAAUUUAUCGAGCACCUUAAUGAGUAUCGCACUAGCACAUUAAUUUAUUCAACGAUCAAACUAUUCUGAAUAAUUUAUCAGCUUACCGUUUCAGCAGCUGACUCGAAGCCACAAGAUCGGUAGCGAUUUUCCGAUCCAAGCAAUUUGUCGAGCGCUUGGGAAAUAUCGCGCUGCUAGCUUCGUCUUCAUCUGAUUCUUGGGAUUCUUAUGACGCGCGGGACAACGACGAGAUCGUGUUUGGAGCAAGUUGGUGAGGUGGGGUUCGAGCAGAGGAUGACGGGUUCGACGACUCGACUGUGAAUGACGUAACGACUAGCUGGGGCAGGAUCCGAGCUAAUAGGCACAGUAUGAGACAGCGACCAGCACGACGAACGAACUAAGUCGCGGUAGGGCCGGCCGACGAAGGAAAACAAGGAACACGACGGUCAGUCGGUGAGCUGACAAGUUCGGAUAGGGACAGCCAUGGCGAAUAAGAAAUCGACGACCGGUGAAACCGAUAGCCGAACAGAAACUGCACAGAUCGACGACGCGAGACUCGAUCUGACGAGCACGAUGCAAGGGAAGGCGUCGCAGUAGCUGCUCUGACAUGAAUUACAUGCUGCCGAGUGCGACAGAGGCCGGGAAGCUGCCGACGGUCGGCCCAACAGCGAGCAGGGGUACCAGGACACACGUGUAGGAAUAACCUUGACAGGACGCGUCCGAGCGAGACCACGGCACUAGGAAAUAGCAGGCGACUAAGCAAAAAUCCAAGCUGGGCACCGAGGAAGAAAUCCGGGCGCGGCAACCGGGAAACUGCGCGGGCCAACAGGGAGCAGCGCGCGCGAAGGGAGAGACAGGGCGCGCAGAGGCUCGCGCGCAAAGAUCCUGAACCCGAGCAGAAGUCCGAGCGCCAUGGGAGCUCGAGACCACCGGCGCGCAGAACAGGAAGCAGGAUGCAACGCGAGGAAAUGACCAGGGAGAAGGAGAUUUCGGCUGGGAGUAGGAAAAGACAGCGGCACCGAAAAAAAAUCUUGAGCAGGGGCGGCAGCGCGAUAAGGCUGGGCGCUGAAAUAUCUCCUCAGGCACACAGAGCGGCGCAGGGACAAAGAUCGUGGCUGGAAAAAUCUGGUACCGGCGGCGGGAGGAUAGAGCUGCCCACUCGGCUGGAGAUUAGAACGAUUGGAGAUAUUUUUCUUUUUUUUCUUAACACUAACGUGCUCCAUGGUAAGCUUUAGAUUGUGUUUAAUUAAUCUGGAACCAAACAAAUAUUCACUCGCUACCCAACCAGUUGGAUCAGAACAGUAUUAAAUACCAAAUUUGGAUAGAAUUUGAUUUAGCGGAUACUCUAGAGUUCAGAUAAAUUUUUAUCAGUUAUUUUUAUCGGAAUGUAUUUUUAUCUGAAGAUAUAUAUCUAAGCGAGAAGCAAUUAGACCGAAUUAAAUCGACAUUUCGGUUACACAUAUUAUUUUCUUGGACUUUAAAAUAGGACACCAAAUCUGCUAACAAUUGCUAUGGUUUUGGUUAGUUCAGGUUUAUUUUAUUUAAACAGCCUGCUGUUAACAGAUCAAACUAAACGAUAUCAGAUUCGAUGUUUUAAUAGACAUUCGAUUUAGUUGAACUUAAACGAAUCUCACCGCUACCUGAAUAUUCGACUAAAGAACAAUUUAAUUGAACAUCCGUAGAUGUGAUGUUACGGAUAACAAAAAGGGGACUACUUUAUUUUUCACCGGAAACUUAGUCGUCGGGUUCUAUUUAAUUUGUUCGGGAUAAAAGUAUCCGAGUGGUCGGGCUUCCGAAUUCGGAUUCGCGCGAGCGAUGAAUUUUAAUUAAUCAUCGGACGCACCGAUAUUCCGAACAAAUAUGUUCCGAACAGCACGAAAAUUUAGGACGAGCCCGAAUAGAUGAAAAUAAAAACUAUGUCGCACUCACGACAGACGGCACAGAUGCGAUAUUAAAAUCGCGAUAGGCGAAGAUUAUUAAAAUUUCGCAUCCGUUUUAUCCACUGAUAUUGCGUGCUUAAAUCCGUACUCGUUGUCGAGAGGAAUAUAAACACCUGGGGUGUUACAGCCCUCCCCCCUUAAAAGAAUCUCGUCCCGAGAUUCGGAGCGAAAGACUUUCAAGAGUAGAGAAACAUGUAACCCACGUCCAUAUCAGCGGUAAUCAUAAGGCAUUUCUGAGCGAAGACAAGUGUUUCAGAACGUUGCUUCUCUAGUGGACAUAGCAUGAAUCGCCUUAGGCUAAUUUAGAAUGUCCAUCAAUAGAGACCAUGUCUGCCAGAGGAACACAUAAGGUUCCAUGUGUGCAGUUUGCUUUUUCUGAUGACAUUGUACUAUCUGAGUCUGUUGAGAAAGCGCCAGAUAUGCAAUUUUACCCAAAUAGAACCAGAUGCACCAUCUUGGGUAAAACACACAGAAGGAGGUUUACCAACAAGUGGUCGCGAUAAGUUCAUAGCACACGAGACGGGUGUGAAUGUCGAACAACAUCACAGUUAACUCGUGUCCCGCUAGAAAAUCUAACUCCCAGAAGGUGAGAUAGAUUCGAGAGAAUCACCCGCAAAGGGAUCUGUAGAUACGGACUUUACAACCAGCCCAUUGAAUCCAGCACUAACCAUGGCUCGACUUGAUCACCCAUGCUGGAAAAACACACACGAGGCGAUCGAGGCAUGACUAGAGCGAUGAUUAGGUGGUUACUGGUCGACUUAACUUAACUUUUGUGAGUACUUUCUCAGGAUGGGUUGAACCAAAGUGAGUUCAGACAACUCGAUAAAACUACUUUUGACAUUGGGCAUGUCCUCUCAGUACCAUCGGCAAAUCAGGGUGAAGAGUUCACUCUUGUUAACAGUUGAUCAUGUAUUUGAGGAGAAAUCCAUUUGGUCAGGUUGUUCAUUAGUUUCUUCAUGCGAGAUGCAUUAUCCACUUGGUUAGGGAAUACAUGGAUUAAAUAAGAGAGCGAAUGAACAACUCCUGCAUCUCAGCAGCAGGGGAAAUCCAAUCUCCAUUUUGAGAGCUAAUCAGUGGUCUCUCGACACUAAAAAGCUCCAAGGCUUCACCUUUACACAAAGGAUGUAAAGGGAACUUGUAUGAGUAGUCACCAUCAAAGUAAAGGGACAAGAGACCACACAUUAAAGGGGUAUGCCCUUUUGAUCCAACGAAGAUGACAGAUGUUGCUUGGUCACUUCGACAAACAACACCGGAAUCGUUUCAAGGAAGAGAUCUACGGAAGAUAGCAUGUUAGUGUGGUUCCAUAAUGGAUCAUAGCCAAGAACUUCGAUACUAGCGUACCGAAUAGUACUACCAUGUGUCGGCCGCCACAUGAGACUUUCGGAUUUACGCGGCACCCUAAGUUAUUGACUAGGACACCAUCAUCGAACUAGCACCAAUAAUGAAUCUUAUGUAGCAGAAAUAGAUUGUGCCAAGAUAACCCAUUGAUAUAGUCUCAUAAUGGAUCACAACUACUAAUCGCGAUACCAGCGUGUGCCGAGCAGCACAACCGUGUGUCGAUCGUCCACAGGAGGCCCUCGGUUUCAUCGCGGCACCAUCGAUUUUAGUCACAACACCAUUACAAGACGUAACCAAUAAGAAAUCUCGCGCGACACCAAUAGAUUGAGCAAGGGUGACAAUAUACAAAGAGAUACUCCACCAGUAAAGAUGGUUACAAGCAGAGAACCAAAUAGAUCAUGGCCCGAUGAAAUGAACAAGGCAUGGCCAUAACCUAAACUUGUUGAAAGGAGUACGAUGGGAGACUGUUAAUUUAGCCCCAAGCAUAUUUCUAUGCCCAUCAUAGAGAUUACAAGGUCAAGGAUGAGUAUCUGAUUAGAUACGGAAGGAAAACAAUCAUAAGAUUAAGUUGGUAUGCCUUUGAUAGAUAUGGGGAAACCAAAGGCAUGAAAUUCAAGAAAAUGAUCGGACAGGUCUUUCCUAGGUUGGGUUGAUAAAACAACAUGGCGAUCCUUAAGAAGAAGCAAACUGAAAUUAGGGGUAUCAGCUUGCACCAACAAAGCAAAGGCAUGGUUUUGGAUGGAAAUAGGACCAUAAAAGAGUUAUAAGCUAAUUGCCCGGAAUACAGACUCGAGAUUCUUGUUUUAAGCUUGGGUACAUUUUAUGUUCAACAAAGAAAUUAUCUAGGCACUUAUUUUUAUGUGUUUGGUCAUAGAGUGAUAAUGGACAAUUCAACUUUGGGUUUAAACAAACAAACUACUAACCUUCUAUCAGUACAUCAAGCACCAAAGCAAACACAUAUAUAACACCUAAAUGUAUUACCUAAAGAAUGAAGGACAACUAUUUCCUUAGGGUUCAUAAUACAACGUCACACCACAAUAUCUACAAUCACUGGUUGCUGGAGUAAAGACGAGGGAAGCAUUUUGGAUGUAUAGGUGACAAACAUGAUGCAACAAUCAGGAUGCAUGCUCGUCCUAUUCGUCCUCACUGAUUUUGCCAACACACUGUGGCAAUAACGUUCUAUAUCGGUGGCAUACUUACGAUUCUCACGGUAUUUUGCUAGUCGUCAGCUACACAUACGUUUUCGAGGUUAGUGUACCUGCAGAAAAGUUUCAUCACAGCCCAAUUUCCCAUGAUGCAGUUCACACAUGACAGUUUAUCACAGUUUAUACUCCAUAUAUUGCUAUAUGGAGGCCAGCUCAUCAUUAAGCGCCGAGCCACGCAUAGGCGCCGUUGCCACACUUUAACCAUAGGGCAACUCAUUAUGGUAACUCACCUUCUUACCUGAGCGUAGGUGCGUCGUUACAAGUACAUUACACUUCUCAGUAUUCCCAUGUCUGUAUACCCAUACACAUCCAUGGGGUACUGAAUUCCCGAAAAAGUAAAUACGCCACAUCGCAGCCUUCAUAUAUACAUAUGUGGAACAUGUAUAUAAUCAAGCGCUACAAUUAAGCACUUCCCUAGACCGACAGUUGUUCGGUCAUGCUCUCACAUCUCACCUUACCUUGAGCGUCGAUCCAUUCAAAACUGAAUGGCCUUAAAAAUAACAAUACACAUGUAUGCAAUACCCACCCGGUUGUGGGUUAGUGGUUUUCAAAUAAGCCACCUGAUAAUCCUUAACUUAGGGCUUAAUAGAGGAUGUCGCUAGCAUUGUAGUUUUCCAAAACUGUUUUUCAAAGCCCAACAAUGUGUUUAGUUGAAAAUAGGUUUUUUUUCAAAACCAAAAAUUUUGUUUUGAAAAUACGUAUGUGACCGUAUAUACUUAAUCCAGCUCCGAUACCAGCUGUGGCAGAACCUCCCAAGUUAUUGGGCCCACAUGCACCUGUCCUUGUCUCAAAGAACUCAGACGGCCAUGCAUGUGCACCAGAUAACUUAACAGGAUCCGUCCGAUUGCCCCACGGACACCGGAUAAACCACUUACAACCAGAACCGCGGGAUUAAGUAAUACAAAUCACACACAUCAAUAUUUUGCAGCGGAAAUCUUAUUACCAAAUUUUACAAGUUACAAAAAUUUUACUUCGUACAUGAUCAGAGUGAUUACUACAUUGAUUCAAAGAAAGAAACUUUGAACGGUUAUAAAUUAUUUAUAGUUUUGAAAUAUAUAUGCUAGCUCAAGUGACCAUCCUCAAUAAGAAGAUAAAGACGGGGUAUACUUAUAUAAGAAGGCCGAGCCCACCGGCACUUAACACCAUCAACAGCAGCACAAAACUAUAACCUGAAAAACAACAGGGAAUAAAACCCUGAGUAUGGAAUUACUCAGCAAGUCUUACCCGACUAAGGAAAAGACUCUCAAGGGUAUGCUGGAUAAAUAGGAAUCAAGGUGAGGCUUUAGCAAGAAUCAACUUAGAUACUUUUGCAGAAAUAGCUUACUAAAGUGAGUCCUUACUUUCAAUAUUUUAACGCCAGAUUAAAUAUUUAAUAGACUCUGUUUGCAUCUAGUCUAAUUUCAUCAUCUCAUCAAUACAACAUCAUUUUUAUCCAUAGUGUUCACAUCUUGACUUAGGUUGUAGGUCGGAGCUCAAGUCUCCACUGUCCGGGGAUAUAACGGCGAUCCGAAUCGAUUUACUCAGCUGAGGAUCUCUAACCACACGACAUAUGUUUCUCGUAAACCUUGAUUUCUACUAUUCCCACGGAUCCUCCACUGCAUGAACAGGUCUGCGCCACCCGAGAGUACACCACCCCUUUUAGGCGAUCCGUUGCCAGGAGGGUACGUGCCACUCUCGCCAUCUCUCCACGCCCAGUGCGCGAUUGUCUUUUCAUGUAUGGAAUAGCCGGGUUCAAGCUUACCCUGUCCCAUUCUCAGGGCAUGUGGCUAGAUAAGAUAGUCCUUGAUCAACAGGCCUACAUACGCAUCCAAUCCUUAAUUGACCCGGGCGGAGCAUCACCUGUUCCUAGCCCAAGUCUCGAUUUAAGUAUUUCCAUCCUAAGAUUGUGUCUGUUCCUUAGGAUGAAAGAGCAUCACAGGGAACUUUGCAGUAAGAUCCCACUAUUGCUCCAAAUGAAAAUAUUCUUGCAGGUAGAAGCCAUCCUCUCCAUGGUUAAAUUGAGGACAACCUCUAUCCACAAGAUCUAAGCAAGGCUAAGCAUUUUUGUAAAUCAUAUUUUGAUACUUCACCAGAAGUAUCUAUAAAGGUAUGGAUAUCAAGGAAAGCAAUGCAUCAAAGGGUUUCAAGCAAUUCCUAUGAACCUAAUGCACAUUUCACUAGACUUAAGUGUGCAAAAAGUAUUUAAAAACACAAGGAAAGGGGUUGCAUGCACCGGGGCUUGCCUGGGUAACACUAGGUUAGUGUUGUUAGACGAUGAUCCUUUGGCGAGCAGCUCACAUCCUGGCACUUGAUCAGACAUGUUCGUCCAUCAGCAUCACCGUGCGGAGUAGCCCGCGCUUGGGGUCGACUUGGCUCG
rnacentral:lncRNA from 1 species